rnacentral:rRNA from 1 species
AACGCGAAGAACCUUACCUGGGCUCGAAAUGGAGUGGACCGGAGUAGAAAUAUUCCUUCCCCGCAAGGGGCUGCUCUAUAGGUGCUGCAUGGCUGUCGUCAGCUCGUGUCGUGAGAUGUUGGGUUAAGUCCCGCAACGAGCGCAACCCUUAUUACCAGUUGCUACCAUUUAGUUGAGCACUCUGGUGAGACUGCCUCGGAUAACGGGGAGGAAGGCGGGGAUGACGUCAAGUCCUCAUGGCCUUUAUGUCCAGGGCUACACACGUGCUACAAUGGUCGGUACAAACCGUCGCAAACCCGCGAGGGGGAGCUAAUCGGAAAAAGCCGGCCUCAGUCCGGAUUGGAGUCUGCAACUCGACUCCAUGAAGCUGGAAUCGCUAGUAAUCGCAGAUCAGAAUGCUGCGGUGAAUACGUUCCCGGGCCUUGUAACACCGCGCAUA